AACCAGUUCGUCCAGUACAGAGACACAUUUAGUAUAUGCGCAAAAACAGACAGAAAAUGCUUACAGAUUUUUAUAAAAUAGAGACACCAGAGAAAGACUGAGAACUAAGAAACAGGACACUGGGAGUGAGAAAAAAGGAGAUAAAGUAAGAUGAUAUUGAAGCAAACCUCAAGAACUUAAAAGUGACGGUCUGUGACGCAUUAUGGAGGCAGGAGAGGACUCUGAUUGUUAUGAAAAUUGUCCAGCUCUUCCAGAGAUAAAGGCCAUUAUAGUCGGCAGUAAAGCAGAGUACAAAUGCAGUGCAGCUAAAACCAUUUUUGGCCAGAAUGACUGUAAAGUGGGUAAAGAGAUAGUCAAGAGUGA